UGCUAGUCGCACGAGUUCAGACUCGUGGCAUAUAGCUCAGUAACACGUGGCCAAACUACCCUACAGACCGCGAUAACCUCGGGAAACUGAGGCCAAUAGCGGAUAUCACUCUCAGACUGGAGUGUCGAGAGUGAGAAACGUUCCGGCGCUGUAGGAUGUGGCUGCGGCCGAUUAGGUAGAUGGUGGGGUAACGGCCCACCAUGCCGAUAAUCGGUACGGGUUGUGAGAGCAAGAACCCGGAGACGGUAUCUGAGACAAGAUACCGGGCCCUACGGGGCGCAGCAGGCGCGAAACCUUUACACUGCACGACAGUGCGAUAGGGGGACUCCGAGUGCGAGGGCAUAUAGCCCUCGCUUUUCUGUACCGUAAGGUGGUACAGGAACAAGGACUGGGCAAGACCGGUGCCAGCCGCCGCGGUAAUACCGGCAGUCCAAGUGAUGGCCGAUAUUAUUGGGCCUAAAGCGUCCGUAGCCGGCCGGGCAAGUCCGUUGGGAAAUCGACGCGCUCAACGCGUCGGCGUCCAGCGGAAACUGUCCGGCUUGGGGCCGGAAGACCUGAGGGGUACGUCCGGGGUAGGAGUGAAAUCCUGUAAUCCUGGACGGACCACCAAUGGGGAAACCACCUCAAGAAGACGGACCCGACGGUGAGGGACGAAAGCUAGGGUCUCGAACCGGAUUAGAUACCCGGGUAGUCCUAGCUGUAAACGAUGCUCGCUAGGUGUGCC
rnacentral:rRNA from 1 species